GAGUAGUUAACUCAAUGGCAGAGUAUUUCUCUUACAAAGAAAAGGUUACUGGUUCAAAUCCAUUACUACUUA
rnacentral:tRNA from 1 species